UUCUUUUUAAAUCCAGCAGUGAAAUCACACACAUCAGCAAAUAUUUGUGGGAAAAGUGAUAAUAGUAAGAAAACGUGGUUUUCUCUGAAAAUUCUGAAUUGUAUAAAGUUUAAAAAGACAAAAUAUACUAAAUAAUAAAGUUUAAAAGAUAAUUUGCUGUAUAUAAUUUUACAAAUUUUUACAAUUUUAAAAGAAAUUUCUAAAUCUCUAUAUUCGAAAGGAAAAUUACAUCUUUUCUUACAAUUAUAAACAGAAAGGAUUAUUAUACUAUACUCUCGAGUAAAUAUUAUUUAUCUUGGACCAAGAUUUGGGACAACGUGUCCCAAACACCAGUCACUUACUCGAGAGUAACCAGUUUGAGUGUUGCCUCAAAAUCUGUUGAUGUGGCCACCAACUAGUAGUUUUACAUGCCUUGAAUCUGUUCCGCAUGGACAACAAUGUGCUUAGUAAUAAUUCAGCAAAACCAAAAUUUCAUUGAUCAAAACGGGAUUGGACACAAAUCAUAGAAGUAUUCAACAGAAAUCCAGAAAAUAAUACACCUUACAAUGAUUCAGUCUAACCCAUAAACAAAUUUCCUAAUAUUCUAACUUAGAGACUCAAAAUUACCAAUUAACAACAGAAUAAAUUUCUGUCCAAAUUACAACUAACUUCUAAAAUUAUAAUUAUGGCUUAUAAACUAUCUUAAGAAGUUCAAAUUUUAACAAUUCAUUAUUAAAAUCACAUCUUAAAAUCCAGAAAAAUUAAAUUUAUAUCAAUAUAUUAACAACUAUUUAAUAUUAACAACAAUUAAACUUAGCUUAAUGAUCGUAUCUAAUAUUUGAAAUAAUAUGUCCAUUAAAGUUUAAAAACAAAUACCGAACAAUAUGAUCAUUUGUUAUUUCAAAUAUUAAAAACGACUAAAUCAAAAUUCUAUAUACUAACACCUAUAUUAAUAUUUUCUAAAUUAAAACAUGAUCUGAUGAAAUUUUAACAACUAUAAAUUUACGUAUAAUUAAAUUUUCCUAACUAUUAAAUAAUUUAACUAAGUAAAAAUUAAUACUAAAAUUAACAUCUUAAUAUAAACAUUACAAAUACGGUGUAAAUCGACUCCAAAAUCAUCAAGCAGAAGGCCUUCAGCAUUGGAAUCAAGACUCUACUUUAAAUAUUCAUAAAGCUAAACUAUAAGAACCUGCAGCAGAAAAAUUUUGUGCGGCAAUUAAAAGAUUUUUGUACAGCUAUACAGUUAGAUCUCACGAUCCACUUGUUUGCAUUAUAACAGUGAUGGGCAACUGA